rnacentral:rRNA from 1 species
AGUGAACGCUGGCGGUAGGCCUAACACAUGCAAGUCGAACGGCAGCACAGUAAGAGCUUGCUCUUACGGGUGGCGAGUGGCGGACGGGUGAGGAAUACAUCGGAAUCUACUUUUUCGUGGGGGAUAACGUAGGGAAACUUACGCUAAUACCGCAUACGACCUACGGGUGAAAGCAGGGGAUCUUCGGACCUUGCGCGAUUGAAUGAGCCGAUGUCGGAUUAGCUAGUUGGCGGGGUAAAGGCCCACCAAGGCGACGAUCCGUAGCUGGUCUGAGAGGAUGAUCAGCCACACUUGAACUUGGACACGGUCCAGACUCCUACGGGAGGCAGCAGUGGGGAAUAUUGGACAAUGGGCGGAAGCCUGAUCCAGCCAUACCGCGUGGGUGAAGGAGGCCUUCGGGUUGUAAAGCCCUUUUGUUGGGAAAGAAAAGCAGCAGGUUAAUACCCCGCUGUUCUGACGGUACCCAAAGAAUAAGCACCGGCUAACUUCGUG